rnacentral:rRNA from 1 species
GCAUAUCAAUAAGCGGAGGAAAAGAAACCAACAGGGAUUGCCCUUAGUAACGGCGAAGUGAAGCGGCAACAGCUCAAAUUUGAAAUCUGGCCUCACGGUCCGAAUUGUAAUUUGUAGAGGAUGUUUCUGGCGACGUGUCUUCCGAGUUCCCUGGAACGGGACGCCAUAGAGGGUGAGAGCCCCGUCCGGUCGUACACCUAGCCUCUGUGAAACUCCUUCGACGAGUCGAGUAGUUUGGGAAUGCUGCUCUAAAUGGGAGGUAUACGUCUUCUAAAGCUAAAUACCGGCCAGAGACCGAUAGCGCACAAGUAGAGUGAUCGAAAGAUGAAAAGCACUUUGAAAAGAGGGUUAAAUAGUACGUGAAAUUGCUGAAAGGGAAGCGCUUAUGACCAGACUUGGGCUCGGUGAAUCAUCCGGCGUUCUCGCCGGUGCACUUUGCCGUCCCAGGCCAGCAUCAGUUCGCGCCGGGGGAUAAAGGUUUCGGGAAUGUAGCUCCCUCGGGAGUGUUAUAGCCCGUUGCGUAAUACCCUGGCGUGGACUGAGGUCCGCGCUCUGCAAGGAUGCUGGCGUAAUGGUCAUCAGUGACCCGUCUUGAAACACGGACCAAGGAGUCGUCUUCGUAUGCGAGUGUUCGGGUGUCAAACCCCUACGCGUAAUGAAAGUGAACGUAGGAGAGAGCUUCGGCGCAUCUCCGACCGAUCCUGAUGUUCUCGGAUGGAUUUGAGUAAGAGCAUACGGGGCCGGACCCGAAAGAAGGUGAACUAUGCCUGUAUAGGGUGAAGCCAGAGGAAACUCUGGUGGAGGCUCGCAGCGGUUUCUGACGUGCAAAUCGAUCGUCAAAUAAUGGGCAUGGGGGCGAAAGACUAAUCGAACCUUCUAGUAGCUGGUUUCCGC